rnacentral:tRNA from 1 species
GCGGAUGUAGCUCAAUGGUAGAGCAGCUGGUUUCCAUCCAGCGCGCGCGGGUUCGAUUCCCGCUAUCCGCUCCA